UCGCGGCUUAUCACCGGCAGUCCCCUUAGAGUGCCCAACUGAAUGAUGGCAACUAAGGGCGAGGGUUGCGCUCGUUGCGGGACUUAACCCAACAUCUCACGGCACGAGCUGACGACAGCCAUGCAGCACCUGUCUCUGGGCUCCUUGCGGCACUCCCGAAUCUCUUCGGGAUUCCCAGGAUGUUAAGGCCAGGUAAGGUUCUUCGCGUUGCUUCGAAUUAAACCACAUGCUCCACCGCUUGUGCGGGCCCCCGUCAAUUCCUUUGAGUUUCAGCCUUGCGGCCGUACUCCCCAGGCGGGGCACUUACUGCGUUAGCGACGGCACCGGGAGGGUCGCUCCCCCCGACGCCUAGUGCCCAUCGUUUACGGCGUGGACUAC
rnacentral:misc_RNA from 1 species